rnacentral:tRNA from 1 species
GCGGGUGUAGCUCAGUGGGAGAGCAUCUCCUUUUGUAAGGAGAAGGUUGGAGGUUCGAGUCCUCUCACCCGCU